rnacentral:rRNA from 1 species
GACGAACGCUGGCGGCGUGCCUAAUACAUGCAAGUCGAACGCUUCUUUUCUACCGAGUGCUUGCACUCAAUUGAAAAGAGGAGUGGCGGACGGGUGAGUAACACGUGGGUAACCUGCCCAUCAGAAGGGGAUAACACUUGGAAACAGGUGCUAAUACCGUAUAACAAUGAGAACCGCAUGGUUCUCAUUUGAAAGGCGCUUUCGGGUGUCGCUGAUGGAUGGACCCGCGGUGCAUUAGCUAGUUGGUGAGGUAACGGCUCACCAAGGCAACGAUGCAUAGCCGACCUGAGAGGGUGAUCGGCCACACUGGGACUGAGACACGGCCCAGACUCCUACGGGAGGCAGCAGUAGGGAAUCUUCGGCAAUGGACGAAAGUCUGACCGAGCAACGCCGCGUGAAUGAAGAAGGUCUUCGGAUCGUAAAGUUCUGUUAUUAGAGAAGAACACGUGUAAGAGUAACUGAUUAUGCGUUGACGGUAUCUAAUCAGCAAGUCACGGCUAACUACGUGCCAGCCGCCGCCGUAAUAC